CGGAAAGACCCCGUGAACCUUUACUAUAGCUUGACACUGAACAUUGAGCCUUGAUGUGUAGGAUAGGUGGGAGGCUUAGAAGUGUGGACGCCAGUCUGCAUGGAGCCGACCUUGAAAUACCACCCUUUAAUGUUUGAUGUUCUAACGUUGACCCGUAAUCCGGGUUGCGGACAGUGUCUGGUGGGUAGUUUGACUGGGGCGGUCUCCUCCUAAAGAGUAACGGAGGAGCACGAA
rnacentral:rRNA from 1 species